UGGCAAAACACUCUAUGUAAAUCGUUCGAAAUUUUUCGAAAAAUACUAUCAAAUUUGUUAACGGUUUAAAAUAAAGAAAUGCAAUUUCCACUUCCGACACGUCCCAGUGACGGACCUAAAGACCAAUAUUAUUAUCCGUUUUCAAAACUGAAAUCCGUUAAACGCAAUUCUUACAGUUUGGUUUGGCUUUUAGGUCUGAAUCGAGUAAAAUAUACACCGUCGACAAUCCUCUUUUUAAGCAGUGGCGUAGCCAGCGAGCAGGCCCGGGCGUACCGGGCAUAUCCGCUUUUCAGUUAACACAU